rnacentral:rRNA from 1 species
AUUGAACGCUGGCGGCAUGCUUUACACAUGCAAGUCGGACGGUAACAGGUUAAGCUGACGAGUGGCGAACGGGUGAGUAAUGCAUCGGAACGUGCCCGAUCGUGGGGGAUAACGCAGCGAAAGCUGCGCUAAUACCGCAUACGAUCUGAGGAUGAAAGCGGGGGACCGUAAGGCCUCGCGCGAUCGGAGCGGCCGAUGUCAGAUUAGGUAGUUGGUGGGGUAAAGGCUCACCAAGCCGACGAUCUGUAGCUGGUCUGAAAGGACGACCAGCCCCACUGGGACUGAGACACGGCCCAGACUCCUACGGGAGCCAGCAGUGAGUAAUUUUGGGCAAGGGGCGCAAGCCUGAUCCAGCAAUGCCGCGUGCAGGAAGAAGGCCUUCGGGUUGUAAACUGCUUUUGUACGGAGCGAAAAGGCUCUCUCUAAUACAGGGGGCUCAUGACGGUACCGUAAGAAUAAGCACGGGCUAACUACGUGCCAGCCGCCGCGGUAAAAC